rnacentral:lncRNA from 1 species
GGCGGAACAAAAAAUGCUAUCAGCUCCCUCAGACGCUGCCGGCACUAUUUACCUAAUUCCCACAACUCACUGGGGUUAUAAGCAUAAUAAGAGGCGUGUUCCACCACUGUGGACGGGGUCCCUGGGCUUUCCCCUAGGGUCCCAUCAGCUGCUUAUGUUCUACCUUCUGACGGAUCACAGGAGGAGCCUGCAGCGGAGGAGCCUCCUCCUCCUCAGCAUCAGACCUAAAGGGAGUGUCCUGCCUGAAGGACCGGCUCAAGGUCGCACUAACAGCUCUUGCUAACUCCUGUUCCAGGCUGUUUAUCUGGGCCUCCAAGUACCCUGCUUGCGCCUGGAGGUCUCUCACCCCCAGGUCCUGCUCAAAGCUGUGCACUUGGGCCCCCAGGCAUGCGGCUUGCUCCGGAAGGUCCCUUACCUGUGGCACUGAGCAUGUACUUCCUGCAGUGCAGUUAGAAAUGCCCAUCCGACUCUGCUUGCAAAGUUCCUUUAUUUAUAGGCACAGCUGCUUAAAGACUGUUACCGGAAAGGAAUCCUGAUCCAGACGCCAAGAGAGGGUUCUUGGACUCAUGCAAGAAAGACUUCAGAAUACGAGUUUUGAAUUUUUGAAUUGCUGUUAAAACUUUCAUCAUGAACACUGAAGUGAGUGAAAAGAGACUUUUGCAGUCAUUUUUUUGGACAGAGAUCAUGGAAGUUGGGCCCGACUGGAUGAGAUUUGGGGGUCUUUGGAAGUGGAGAAUGUGUUUGCCCUGGGGAAGAGAGGUGAUGUCUAGGAGACCUCUUCACUCAGGGCAAGCUCUAUGACCUGCUUUGACUCCAGAAUGUGGUAGAAGUGGCAUCACAUAAAUUGCAGAGCCUAGGCUUCAAGAGACCUUGCAACUUGCCUCUCACUGACUUGAAGUGCUCCCAUCAGAGCAUCUUGUAAGGAGCAGGUGGAGCAUGUGGACAAGCCAUCCCCACCAGCCCCUGAGACAUGUGAGAGAGGCCAGAACAGGCCAUCCGGACCCCACUGUGCUGGUGGAUGAGACAGCAGAAGGAAUAUCAACCUACCAACAGAAUCCUGAGAAAUGCUCACUCUUACUUCAAGCUGCUGCAUUUUGAUGUUAUGAAACCAUAAAUAACUUAUGAAGUCAUCUUUGCUGACUUAAAGUUUUCCAUAACUUUAUUAUAACAUAUCAAAAUUAUGAAAAAUGUGAAAAGUAGAAAACUGAUGAAUUUUGCUUCUUCAUAUGGUCUUUAAGAAUCUCAAAGGCACUGAAGUUUUUUAUCUUUUCUGUCUUAGAAUAAAAAACCUUGAAUGAAAA